rnacentral:rRNA from 1 species
AUACGUAGGUCCCAAGCGUUGCGCGAUCUCACUGGGCGUAAAGCGUCCCCAGCCGGUCCGGUAAGCGGAUUGUCAAAACCCGCGGCUCAACCGCGGUAGGGCGACCCGAACUGCCGGACUUGAGGCAAGCCCAGGCAGGCGGAAUUCCCGGUGUAGCGGUGAAAUGCGUAGAUAUCGGGAGGAACGCCAAAGGGGAAGCCAGCCUGCUGGGGCUGCCCUGACGGUCACGGACGAAAGCUGGGGGAGCAAACCGGAUUAGAAACCCUAGUAGUCC